rnacentral:misc_RNA from 1 species
GUGAAUCAUCAAAUCUUUGAACGCAAAUUGCACUCUCUGGCAUCCCGGAGAGUAUUCCUGGGUGAGGGUCAGAUUAAUAAAAAUCUGCGUGUCGCUUUCGGGAUGCACCGGAGGUUGGGUCUUCUUUGCUUUAGGUUAAGAGUAUUAAAAUUGAUAUCUUUUUUGCGCGCUUGUAGACGUACAUAAUUUUUUUUAUUCGUCUAUUCCGGUGUCAAAUUUUACUAGGUACGAUUAUCUUGUGCCUAUAAUUUCUCAUCUUUUGACUUAAAAUCAGUUAAGAACU